rnacentral:rRNA from 1 species
ACUGAAUAGAUACCCCGGUAGUCCACGCCGUAAACGAUGGAUGCUAGCUGUGGGGGGUAUCGACCCCCUCCGUAGCGAAAGCUAAACGCGUUAAGCAUCCCGCCUGUGGAGUACGGCCGCAAGGCUAAAACAAUAAAGGAAUUGACGGGGACCCGGCACAAGCGGUGGAGCGUGUUCUUUAAUUCGAUGAUAAACGAAGAACCUUACCAAGGCUUGACAUCCCGAGAAUUACUCCGAAAGGAGUGAGUGCUUUAUUGAACUCGGUGACAGAUCUUGCAUGGCCGUCGUCAGCUCGUGUCGUGAGAUGUUUGGUUAAGU